UGUAUAAUGGGUCAGCGACUUAUAUUCUGUAGCAAGGUUAACCGAAUAGGGGAGCCGAAGGGAAACCGAGUCUUAACUGGGCGUUAAGUUGCAGGGUAUAGACCCGAAACCCGGUGAUCUAGCCAUGGGCAGGUUGAAGGUUGGGUAACACUAACUGGAGGACCGAACCGACUAAUGUUGAAAAAUUAGCGGAUGACUUGUGGCUGGGGGUGAAAGGCCAAUCAAACCGGGAGAUAGCUGGUUCUCCCCGAAAGCUAUUUAGGUAGCGCCUCGUGAAUUCAUCUCCGGGGGUAGAGCACUGU
rnacentral:rRNA from 1 species